AAUGGCUGCGUUUAUUGGUGAAUAGUGAUGAAGAGUUGGAUAAAAAUAUACGUUUGGUGUUUGAAAUACUCUGCAGUGAAAACCAGUGAACAGAUGCUUGUUAUCCACCUUUCUUCUAUUAUCAAAAGCAUGACAGCUCUUCACAGCUUGAUCAAUAAUAACUCUUCAUCAGCUAAUGACCGUUGACAACAUGUGAAGCAUGGGAUGAAUAGAGAUACCAAGAUUCAUGGAUUGCUUAGAGCUAUUUUUAUAGUAAAAUUCCUACCUGAAAGAACGUUUUGACUUCUCUUGUAAACAUUUGGGAUAUGCUUUGUAUUGAACUUACAAUUGAAGUUAUGAUAUUAUGAUUUCUACAUUC